rnacentral:rRNA from 1 species
AGAGUUUGAUCCUGGCUCAGAACAAACGCUGGCGGCGUGCCUAACACAUGCAAGUCGUACGUGAAAGGGUCUUCGGACCUGAGUAAAGUGGCGCACGGGUGAGUAACGCGUGGAUAAUCUGCCCCUCAGUUGGGAAUAACUCAUCGAAAGGUGGGCUAAUACCGAAUAAUGCUGCAUGACCGCGGUUGUGCAGCCAAAGAUGGCCUCUGCUUGCAUGCUGUCGCUGAAGGAUGAGUCCGCGUACCAUUAGCUAGUUGGUAGGGUAAUGGCCUACCAAGGCUACGAUGGUUAGCUGGUCUGAGAGGAUGAUCAGCCACACUGGAACUGAGAUACGGUC